UGUUGACAGGAGAUGGCGUCGGCGGGCAGCCAGCAAGUAUUAAUCCUCUUGACUGGCAGCGCUCUCUGCGGGUGGACGUGUGCAUAGAAAGCUGAUGUGCUGGAGGAAUACUUCUCCAGCACUGAAGAACAUGCGUCUCUUCACUUCACCACGAGUCCCAGUUAUCCUGCCUCGUCAUUGCAUCUCGCUUCAGUCCUUGUUGGUAAUGAUC